ACCUUAAGGGGGCNGCCGUNGGGAAUCUUCCGCAAUGGACGAAAGUCUGACGGAGCAACGCCGCGUGAACGAUGAAGGCCUUCGGGUCGUAAAGUUCUGUUGUUAGGGAAGAACAAGUACCAAAGUAACUGCUGGUACCUUGACGGUACCUAACCAGAAAGCCACGGGUAACUACGUGCCAGCCGCCGCGGUAAUACGUAGGUGGCAAGCGUUGCCCGGAAUUAUUGGGCGUAAAGCGCGCGCAGGUGGUUUCUUAAGUCUGAAUGAAAAGCCCACGGCUCCACCGUGGAGGGUCAUUGGAAACUGGGGAACUUGAAUGCAAAAAGGAAAAGGGGAAAUCCAAGUGUAGCGGUGAAAAGCUAAAAAAAUUGGAGGAACACCAGUGGCAAAGGCAAAUUUCUGGGCUGGAACUGACCAUGAAGCGCGAAAGCCUGGGAAGCGAAAAGGAUUAGAAACCCCGGUCAGACACCCCCCUAAACAAGAAGGCUAAAUGGUAAAAGGGUUUCCGCCCUUUA
rnacentral:rRNA from 1 species